rnacentral:rRNA from 1 species
CCUAUCUGCCGUGGGCGCAGGAAGAUUGAGGAGAGUUGCCCCUAGUACGAGAGGACCGGGGUGAACGAACCACUGGUGUACCAGUUGUCCCGCCAGGGGCACCGCUGGGUAGCUAUGUUCGGAUGUGAUAACCGCUGAAAGCAUCUAAGCGGGAAGCCAACUCCAAGAUUAAUCUUCCCUGAAGAUCCGUUGAAGACUACAACGUUGAUAGGCUGGGUGUGUAAGUGGUGAAAGCCAUUUAGCUGACCAGUACUAAUAGAUCGUUUGUCUUACUUACAA